UCGGUCAUGUGACCAAGCUAGUAACCUCUAUGGUAUGUUGCAGGACCUUAGGAGGUCCUUGGGUCACGUGUUACCCAGCAUUCUCUGCAAUGGUGAUUGACAUCCGUAUGGAUGCCGGACUAACAGGAUGGUGUGCUAGACAACUUUCAACAACACGCUAGGCCUCAAAACCUACGGCCUCAGCAGAACCAAAAAAUCAAGACUUGGCGCGGACCUUGGCGAUCGAACUGAGAUAAGAAGGCGCUAGAGAGAAGAUGUUGGGGACUUCACCUGAACUUCAUCAUCAAGUUCAUCUAAAAUAAUCACAUACGUUUCAUUGUAAAGUGGACGUACGGGAUGGAGCUUGUAAUAAGAAGAAGGAAACCACCUUGGGUGGGAUUCGUGUUUACGUGGAGACCAUAAAAACACUACGCUUUCCUUCAACUCUUGACACUGUAAUGAUAUAUACAAUGAAAGUCCCACCAGGGCAUUUCCUGAAAAGCAAAUUCUUCUGUGAUUUCUCAUUGACAUCUGUAAAAUGUUUUGGGACAUUUUUCCAUUGAUUGUAUAGUCAAUUCUACGAAUAUAUUGUCCUGACUUUGUAUGUGGUCUUAGGGGAACGAGGGGGUAGGGUGUCGCCUUGAGGUGAUCGCCAAAUGCUAUGUAGAUCUCC